rnacentral:rRNA from 1 species
UCGGGAAUUUUGCACAAUGGCCGAAAGGCUGAUGCAGCAACGCCGCGUGAGCGAAGAAGGCCUUCGGGUUGUAAAGCUCUGUUGCCUGCGAAGAAGGGCCCUGUCAGGAAAUGGGCGGGGUUUGACGGUAGCAGGCGAGGAAGCCCCGGCAAACUACGUGCCAGCAGCCGCGGUAAUACGUAGGGGGCGAGCGUUGUCCGGAAUUACUGGGCGUAAAGGGCGUGUAGGCGGCCUGUUAAGUCAGGGGUGAAAGACCGGGGCUCAACCCCGGGGGUGCCUCUGAAACUGGCGGGCUUGAGUGCUCUAGAGGGCAGUGGAAUUCCCGGUGUAGCAGUGAAAUGCGUAGAGAUCGGGAGGAACACCAGUGGCGAAGGCGGCUGCCUGGGGGGUCACUGACGCUGAGGCGCGAAAGCUAGGGGAGCAAACAGG